rnacentral:rRNA from 1 species
GCAGGCUGCAACUCGCCUGUAUGAAGUCGGAAUUGCUAGUAAUCGUGGAUCAGCAUGCCACGGUGAAUACGUUCCCGGGCCUUGUACACACCGCCCGUCACACCAUGAGAGUCGGGAACACCCGAAGUCCGUAGCCUAACCGCAAGGGGGCGCGGCCGAAGGUGGGUUCGAUAAUUGGGGUGAAGUCGUAACAAGGUAAC